GCGGAGGUUUAGCUCAGGGGUUACUUCACAGCUUGUUACCACCUAAAUGAUCCGCGGGUCACAGGUUCCAACCCCGGGCGCCGCCCUCCGUUUUG
rnacentral:vault_RNA from 13 species